AAGGCCACUCUUCUUGCGAUAAUCAUCCUCUCCGUGUGAGUCGAAGCUCUCACGUCGCAGAAGCAAGCUGAUCAAGACUGGCGGUAACACUGCUGCAAAAGACGAGGAUAUGCUACAAGAUAGUCAGAAGCUUGAAGAUAUCAUGCUGACAGAGGUGUGGCUUCCGACGAUCAAGGGCAAGCAAGAACAAGAAAACAUGAUGGCAAUGGUAGUAGACCAAGAAAAGGGUGCCUCAGUAAGAAAUGAAGGACGGGAAACCUCCGUUGGAAAGGAUGGUGUGAGGGUGAAUCAGUGCAAGGAGAAAGUUAAUCGGUUAGUUCUGCAUAACAUCGGUGAAGUGCGGGGAGAAGCAGAAGAGGGAGGAGACCUUGAGUUAGAGCUAGGAGAGGAGGUGAGUGGAGAUGUGCAACGAGAGCGCGCAAUGGAAGAGGAAAGUGAGGAGUGGGACCUGCCCACGGCCGACGAGCUGAACCGUCGUGUGGAGGACUUCGUCGCGAGGUUCAAUAUGGAGAGGCAGCUUGAGGAGGCAAGGAUGCUCGUGUGCUGCUACUGAUCAUUUUCCGAUCAACAGUCUUUGUAUUACGGUGAUAGUUUUAGAACUGUCUUAUGUAUCAUAGAUGUUACAUGAAUGUAAAUAAGUUAAUUAAGUAUGAUGUGGACAAUGUUUUUAAUGUGUC